rnacentral:rRNA from 1 species
AUUGAACGCUGGCGGCAUGCUUUACACAUGCAAGUCGAGCGGCAGCGCGGCGUACGGGCUUGCGGCGAGGGGCGCACGGGUGAGUAAUGUAUCGGAACACGCCGAGGCGUGGGGGAUAACACUGCGAAAGAAGUUCUUAUACCGCAUACGUCCUGAGGGGGAAAGCGGGGGAUCGCAAGACCUCGCGCGAUGGGAGGGGCCGAUGUCAGAUUAGCUAGUUGGUGGGGUAAAGGCCUACCAAGGCGACGAUCUGUAGCUGGUCUGAGAGGGUGAUCAGCCACACUGGGACUGAGACACGGCCCAGACUCCUACGGGAGGCAGCAGUGGGGAAUUUUGGACAAUGGGCGCAAGCCUGAUCCAGCAAUGCCGCGUGAGUGAAGAAGGCCUUCGGGUUGUAAAGUUCUUUCGGCAGGAACGAAACGGUGGGCUCUAACAUAGUCCGCUAAUGACGGUACCUGAAGAAGAAGCACCGGCUAACUACGUG